ensembl:lncRNA
AAAUAAUUAAAACAUUUUGGGACCUAAUUCAGGGCCAGUGUUAGAUAUGUAAAACUAAAAGUUAAAGAUAUAAAGAGGUAGCUACUGGUAUUAAAGAUACCUAAACUGGUGUGAGUGGGAGCAUUGACUGAAAGAAAAAAGUAAUAUUUUAGGAUGAUUUUUUUCUCACAACAGUUCCAUGCAAAGCACAAAUAAACACCUCUGUGUGAAAAGCUUGCAGCCUGGAAAUGUCCCGUACACUGACAGAAGACAAAUAACAAAACUUGGACUGCAUGGCAGGCAAAUACAAAAGAAUUAUGGGUAUUGAAGUUUCAGGUACGUUUGUGUUGGGUGUGUAACUGAUGCGCAUAUUGUGAGUGUAAACAGAGAUCCUUUGAUAAUGUAAGGUGUCAGAUUCGCUGGGCUUCCCAGCUGUAGUCACUGCUGACGUAGUGCCUGCAAAAGGUGCCCUAUACAGGUAUCUGACUAAUAUCUGACUGCUCAUUCACUGGAGCUAAAUUACGGUGUCGGUCACAUGGUGAUGUACAAAUACACUAUGUGUGAUCAUCAUUGGCUCAGAGAAACAGUUACAAACAUACUCUAGAAGAACUCUUGAAUUAGGUUAUUAUAAAUGGUUGGUAUAAAUACAGCUUAUUAAGUUUGCUGUAUGUUUGUAAUGUAAUAGGGUUAAGAUUGGAUUUUUGGUAGAUCUGAUAAAGGAUUAAUGUUCACAAAGCCUUGGCUAAAGGUAGAUACAAGCUACACAAAAUCAAAAAUAAAAUCUCAUAUAUAAUAUUAUAAUGUAUAUAUAUACUGAACACUUCCUGCCUGCAGACAUGAAUAGCACCAUCUCUACUGUGCCUCUUGAUUGGUCAAAUAAAGUCGAGAUAUAAUCACUUGCUUCCAUAAAUAAAACCAAUGCAGAUUGACUUUGACAGCUUACAAAACAUUUAAUAAACCAAAUUUAGUUAAAAUAAUGAGGUUUUUCUUGACAGAAUUUCUUUGUAACUGAUCCAUUUUCUUAAUCCGAAUGUUUUACAACACAAGUCCAUCUAUGUGAUUACAGUCUUCCAGCUAGCAGACCAGAAAGGUGAGUGUAAUUCUUUUUUUUUGAGAGUGAUUCUAUUUUUCCGAGGCAUUCCAGUCUGACACGUUAACAAACGCUUUAACCUUCAGGUCAGUCACACUGGAAGAAGUUAAAACGGUGAUCUCGCCUCAUUUGAACCCUGUCAAAGUGGAAUUUUCAAGGACUCGAUGCGGUCGAGAUCUUCUGCUCCCCCAUGUUUUAAAUAGGGUUAGGGUCCUAGGACUGCGGUCUCCUGGACAAAGAUCCUGGAAUCUGCUGGAGCCACUCUCCCAGUUUGGACGUUACUGCCCUGAGAGCUGUUACCACUGUUGCUUUCAGUUUCCACAUCUUCCCAUCUCUUCUCUAGCUCGUCCUUCAUCCCUUGGUAUUUCUUCUCAUGUCACCAUUUCCAGAUGUUGCUGUCACUCGGUAUACUGUAGCUACAUUCAUCAUUACGGUCGUCUUUCUCUUCUUGUCCACCACCACUAUAUCUAGCUAUCACCAGUUUGUCCAUCUGUAUCUGGAAGUUUGGUCAUUUUCAACCACCUUUAGGGUGUUUCAACACGCCAACUUAGCACAGUCUCAGCCACAGAGACUUUUUUUCCUUUGAAGAUGAGAUGACUGACACUUCUGCUACUGGUAAAAGAUAAUAUUAUUUGAUACUGAUAAAGAAAAUUUCACUAAGAUACAGCGCAGCCACGCUUUCCAGUGCCUCGGCAGAGAGACUGUUUAGCCUUGGGAAGCUUGUCUUCUCUCCAAAGUGGAACAGGCUCUCUGAUGAGAAGUUUGAGAAGCUCAUUGUUUUGAGACAUAACCACUGGUUUAAUGAAUAGCUGUAAAGGGUUGGGGAUGUGACAAAUAAGAAUUCUUUAUAUUAAAAAAAAUAGAGGACAUUAAAACAGGUCACUUUAACAGACAUCUACUGUGAGAACAACACUUGUGUGACUUGUGUUGGACUGCCAAUGGCAAACGACAGCCAUGGAGUUUACAUUUGUAUUACCUGUUUACAUUUUUAUACCUUGGUUAUGUUAUACAGUGCACGUACUUUCUCAGUAUUACAUUGAAAUCACUUCAGCUAUUUUACUUUUGUGUGGAAGAAAAUCCUUGUUCAGCCACUGAUGUCUGAAGCUGUGACAGUUUACAUUGCUUAAAAGCAUAAUUUAAUUUAACAACCAUUGAUAGCCAGUUGCAUCCUGUUGAUGUGCAAUAAUAUCGAAUGUUCUAAAACAACAUGUUUUAUUGUAUUAUUUAUUACAAAUAGAAAAUUAAUUCUAUCUACAAUUAUUAAAAUUGAUCUGAUUGGUGUUUUAUUUCACAUUAUCACAAAGCAACAUUUGAAUAGUUAAUAGUUUCCUGUUAGUUCCUUCUGUGGCCAUUUACUUCAGCUAUAUAUUCAGUUUUAUAACAAACAGUUGAAUAUAUAUUUUAGUAUGUUCAAGUAUGUUUAGUAAUUUAUAAUUUAGUAUUUUAGCAAGUUCCAUUAAGAGGAGAUUCAAGUUCUUUAAACAUUUUUAAAGUAACACAAUAGUUACUUUUCAUGGUAAUUGUUACUUUUAUAAUAUUGUAACUCAGUUACUUGAAGAAAUAACUAUAACUGAUUACUUGCCCAACACUGGUCAGGUUGGUACACAGCUGACAGCUCUAUUUGACAGCUGUUAGAAAUCAUAUUAUGGCAAGAACCAAUCAGCUAAGUAAAGAGCAACGACAGACCAUCAAUAUUUUAAGAACUGAAGCUCAGUCAGUUCAGAAAAUAGCUGAAACUCUGAAUGUGUCCCCAAGUGCAGUUGCUACGUGGAAACUGGAUGACACGAGGACUCUCAGGAAAGGAAGACCAAGAGUCACCUCUGCUGCUGAGGAUAAAUUCAUCUGAGUCAGCAGCCUCAGAACUCGCAAGUUAGCAGCACCUCAGAUUAGAGCCCAGAGCCCAGACGCUUCUCUACACC